UACGUAGGGUGCGAGCGUUAAUCGGAAUUACUGGGCGUAAAGCGUGCGCAGGCGGUAAGUUAAGUCUGAUGUGAAAGCCCCGGGCUCAACCUGGGAAUGGCAUUGGAAACUGGCUUGCUAGAGUGAGGCAGAGGGGGGUGGAAUUCCGCGUGUAGCAGUGAAAUGCGUAGAGAUGCGGAGGAACACCGAUGGCGAAGGCAGCCCCCUGGGCCGACACUGACGCUCAGGCACGAAAGCGUGGGGAGCAAACAGG
rnacentral:rRNA from 1 species